rnacentral:tRNA from 1 species
UAAGGAAUGGAUAGAAUUAAACUUUUUUUGCCCUCUCACGGCGGCAACACGGGUUCGAAUCCCGUACGGGACGCCA